UACGUAGGGGGCGAGCGUUGUCCGAAGUUACUGGGCGUAAAGCGCGCGUAGGCGGGGGGUUAAGUGAGAGGUGAAAGGCUGGGGCUCAACCUCAUGCAGUGCCUCUCAUACUGGCCUUCUUGAGGGCGGUAGGGAGAAGUGGAAUGGCUGGUGUAGCGGUGAAAUGCGUAGAUAUCAGGAGGAACACCUGUGGCGAAAGCGGCUCACUGGACCACAACUGACGCUGAGGCGCGAAAGCGUGGGGAGCAAACAGG
rnacentral:rRNA from 1 species